rnacentral:rRNA from 1 species
AUACGGAGGAUCCGAGCGUUAUCCGGAUUUAUUGGGUUUAAAGGGAGCGUAGGCGGAGGAUCAAGUCAGCUGUGAAAUGUAGACGCUCAACGUCUGCACUGCAGUUGAAACUGGUCCCCUUGAGUGCGUAAGGGGCGGGCGGAAUUCGUCGUGUAGCGGUGAAAUGCUUAGAUAUGACGAAGAAAUCCGAUCGCGAAGGCAGCUGGCCGGGCCGCAACUGACGCUGAAGCUCGAAGGUGCGGGUAUCGAACAGGAUUAGAUACCCUGGUAGUCCGCACAGUAAACGAUGGAUACUCGCUGUCGGCGAUAUACGGUCGGUGGCCAAGCGAAAGCGUUAAGUAUCCCACCUGGGGAGUACGCCGGCAACGGUGAAACUCAAAGGAAUUGACGGGG